rnacentral:rRNA from 1 species
UACGGAGGAUGCAAGCGUUAUCCGGAAUGAUUGGGCGUAAAGCGUCCGCAGGUGGCAAUGUAAGUCUGCUGUCAAAGCGUCUGGCUCAACCAGAUAAAGGCAGUGGAAACUACAUAGCUAGAGUAAGGUAGGGGUAGAGGGAAUUCCUGGUGUAGCGGUGAAAUGCGUAGAGAUCAGGAAGAACACCGGUGGCGAAAGCGCGCUGCUGGACCUUAACUGACACUGAGGGACGAAAGCUAGGGGAGCGAAUGGG